rnacentral:lncRNA from 1 species
CACUGAGAGGUCCCUGCCACUCUAAGAUGUUCUGUGAUUCUCUCUAAAGCUGCUCAAAUUAGCUCCCUGUGCAGCCAGAGUGACACAAAGCCAGGCAGUGAUAAUGCUUUAGCACAGAACCUGUAGCCAGCAGCAUGUCUCUCCUUCCAAGGCUGAAGAAAAGAUGUGAGAGUUGCUAAAGUAAUGAAGAUCUAACGACAUAAACAAGGCAGUUGUUUGGAAGGUGAGAUAGCAUCUCUUUAUUAAUCCAGCUGAUAACGGUGGGAAAACAAAGAUAAGGUUGGGGGAAUGUAAGACUUUUUCAGGUCUGCUUUUUUUCAUGUCAGGUCAUCUUCAGUUGAUCUUGUAAAUAAUCCUAAUUAUUGCAGUGCUAAACUAUGGAUAGAUGGGGACUCCAUGCAUAUAAUUACUUGAGAAAAUGAAGAAUGUGAGAUUAGUCUUUAAAAUAUGCCUUAAGGAGAUGUACAGACUGACAAAAAAGGAAAUUUGAGUUUGGUUUGAAAUAAAAUACAAUGUAAAGGGAAAUUCUGCAAUUUACUGCAAUUCUGCAAUUUCAUUUACUUUCAAAAGUAAUUUUAAUUUUCAUUUCCCUGGAAGACUCCAGUUUGCACAGACUACAGAACUACAGUUCCGUUCACUGGAAAUGGUGGUGUCUGGGGAAGAGAAUCUCUUGUCUGGGACAGCAGAGGACAUUUCAAGUCAGAACUAAGAACUUCAUUGCUAUCAGUGAUGGCCUUCAAAGAGCUCCCGAGAGAUGCACUUGCCUCAUGUCAGCCCUAACUUCAGAUUUUGAGGCAUGCUGAGGAAAACAAUCACAGCAAAGAAGCACCAAAUCUCCUGCGAGCUAUCCCCUGAUCAGUGGGCACACAAAGAUGCACCAGCAGCUGUUAAUGUUGCGUUAUGGAUGAUU